rnacentral:rRNA from 1 species
UACAGAGGUCUCAAGCGUUGUUCGGAUUCAUUGGGCGUAAAGGGUGCGUAGGUGGCGCGCUAAGUCAGGUGUGAAAUUUCGGAGCUUAACUCCGAAACUGCAUUUGAUACUGGCGUUGCUGAGGACUGGAGAGGAGACUGGAAUUCACGGUGUAGCAGUGAAAUGCGUAGAUAUCGUGAGGAAGACCAGUGGCGAAGGCGGAUCUC